CUUCCUUCUGUUUUUGUUGAAAGCUUCGAAUAUUUUCCUGGCAGAGGCCUUACUGCUACUGUAAAUGGUGUUAAGUCAGUAGCUGAAGAGAGUAGAUUACAACAAGCAUCACUUGGUUCUAUAGAGUUCAUUACCUCGCUUUUCAAA